AAAGAACAAUCCAGUCAUCUUUGUCUUCUAUUUCUGCAUUUCACCCCAGACAUGCAGUUGGAAGUGGUGUACGACAUUCUGGUGGGUUUUGAGUCUCCAAACUUUCAUCAAGUCUUUGGCUUUCUUUAUCUUUCCAAUAAAGGGAGUGUUAGGGAAAAGCGCGCAAAGAGCCAGGUGCUACAUGACUCUCUGCUGGGGCCAACCAAUAGGCAUGGCUGAGGAGGACCCCUGGAGAGCCAGGCGCUCUGUCACCACUGCCACUGUCAUCACUGACCUGAGUCAGCACGGUUGGCCAACACUGUGGAAGACCAAGCGUCUAGGUGGCUCAAGGAGUGAGCUGUGGUGGGGUCAAAGAUAUUCCCGGCACUGGCUCUGA
rnacentral:lncRNA from 1 species